CACGUAGGGUGCGAGCGUUGUCCGGAAUUAUUGGGCGUAAAGAGCUCGUAGGCGGUGUGUCGCGUCGGCCGUGAAAACCUGCAGCUUAACUGUGGGCUUGCGGUCGAUACGGGCAUCACUGGAGUUCGGCAGGGGAGACUGGAAUUCCUGGUGUAGCGGUGAAAUGCGCAGAUAUCUGGAGGAACACCGGUGGCGAAGGCGGCAUCCUGGACCGGCAUUGACGCUAAAGCGCGAAAGCCAGGGGAGCAAACGGG
rnacentral:rRNA from 1 species